rnacentral:rRNA from 1 species
CCUACGGGAGGCAGCAGUGGGGAAUCUUGCGCAAUGGGCGAAAGCCUGACGCAGCCAUGCCGCGUGAAUGAUGAAGGUCUUAGGAUUGUAAAAUUCUUUCACCGAGGACGAUAAUGACGGUACUCGGAGAAGAAGCCCCGGCUAACUUCGUGCCAGCAGCCGCGGUAAUACGAAGGGGGCUAGCGUUGCUCGGAAUUACUGGGCGUAAAGGGAGCGUAGGCGGAUAGUUUAGUCAGAGGUGAAAGCCCAGGGCUCAACCUUGGAAUUGCCUUUGAUACUGGCUAUCUUGAGUACGGAAGAGGUAUGUGGAACUCCGAGUGUAGAGGUGAAAUUCGUAGAUAUUCGGAAGAACACCAGUGGCGAAGGCGACAUACUGGUCCGUUAACUGACGCUGAGGCUCGAAAGCGUGGGGAGCAAACAGGAUUAGAUACCCUGGUAGUCCACGCUGUAAACGAUGAGUGCUAGUUGUCGGCGAUGCAUGCAUGUCGGUGGUACGCGAGCUAACGACAUUAAGACGACGUCCGCCGUCGGGGUAGGGUACGGGUACGGCGAACGUAAGUUAAAACGUUAACGAAAUAGUUAAGUUAGUACGGCGUUGAGACGUUGCGACGGACGACGACGAGGGGAGGAGGNG